UUUCUGCCCCUUCUUCUUCGGUGGGGUACAGUCAGCUAUGUCCAAGUCCCCACCACGGCCACCGUGGCUAUUAAGUCCCUGGCUCAUGUGGGCGACUUGACACCGCCCACCCCACGCAGGCGCGGCCAACAACUGUCAGAGCAACGACCUCAGGACCAUCCGAAUCACUGAAGGUUCCACAGCAGCGGUACAGUGAUGCUCUCCCCAUCCGGUGCUCCUGUGCCAGUCAACAGGCCUGUGGGACCACCCCGCCCUCUGUAGCUCGAGUCCGGUAGCGCAGACAUGGAAGGAAACACCAAAGAAAAAAAGAACUAUUCAAGUCCAAGAUUUCCUCAGCACUCUGGUAGAGGCUCCUGUGCCUGCUAGGAAAUCUCCGAUUCACCUACAACCAAAGAACAGGAUAUCUGUUGUCCAGUCUAUGGGGAAGAAGCUUGCUCUGCUGAGUGUUUCUUGCAUGACACCCUCCCUUACCAUGGGACAAAACUCCACAGGAGCUGUGGGACUGUGGACUGGAACCUCCAGCACUGUGAGCUGAGGGCUUUAGGUGCCAAUUUCUACAGAACACCAUAGAGUAUGAACAACUGGCAGAUAAGAAGGAAAAAGAAGACGCAGGGGCACCGAGUGCUGCCUUCUGGGAAGAUAUCAAAAACAUUCUACAGAAAACU
rnacentral:lncRNA from 1 species